GCACCACUUACUCUUCACCAUGUUUACAUAUGCUGCUCGUUAAGGAUUCUUUUGUGAACUAAAACUGGCUCAUCUCUGGGGCUCCUCACACCUCCUUUACGUUACCUUACACUUCUCACACCACGCCUAGCACCUCCUACUCACAAUACUGCACACCUUACACUGCCUAUCAUGAUCGAUGUGUACAGUCAGUUGAUCAAUGUCCUGCAGUAUCUGAUGCCAACUUAAACCACUUAACCCCAAAUAAUGUGUGUGUGUGUUAUCAUCCCUUAGUUCCUGUAUAUUCUGUGAACUUAUGCUUUCAGAAAAUUCCAUGUUGUUUAAACUAAAUCGCAAGUGUUUGUGUUUACAGUGAGACAGCUGUUCGUGGUUUACCUGUUUGUUUCCGAGGCCUUAUGGGAUGGAGCUGGCUGUCACAACAAAAUGAUAUACGACGGACAAUCAAGAGGUCAGCAGUGAAAUCCGGCACCCUGUAUUGGACAGUAUAUAUUUCUACACUAAUUACAAACUUUGCAUGCUGAUGUGAAGGUCAUAUCGAUAAAAAGAAGAAAUAAUUAUGAACACGAACAUCACAAGAUACAAGAUUCUUUCGUCACGAUUCUGGAAGACAAAGUAGUGAGAUGCUGUAUACGUGAAGAACCAGAUGCUGUGUGGAGAGUAGCAUAAGAUGUCGAGACGUGUUUCUUCACUCACUUUAAAUAUAUUAGUCUUUAUCCUCGUCUUGCCAUAGGUGUCUCUGCGUCCCAAAGAGCUCUCAGAGUUAACGAGUGCAUAUUCCUCUUAGCUGUCUCUAUAUCCAAGAGCUUUCUGAAUUUACGAGUCUCUGCAUUCAAGUCUUUCAGCUACCUCCCCGUCUCUUUCAUUCAAAAUUUACUAACAAAAAUAUCUCACGUUUCUUAUAAAGUGUGGCAGGAGGAGACUGUUACGUUCUCCCUUAUUUCUUUCGGCAAGGCCCCGGAGGAAGAAAUCUAUUCUUGACUGUGCAGUGUCUCAUCUCUCUUCCUCCCAGCACCUUGUACAGUACUUCCCUGAGAUACUCUUUGAUCUUCCAGUCUGACAAAGCCUCUCUAUCAGUUAAAGUUUUCUAUUUUUUGUUGAAGACAUUCUGGUCGUGUUCCUGUAGGGUGGGUGGACGACCUGCACUGCAUCCAUACUCUGAGGCGGAGCUUGAGUCUUCACUCCCCAGUAAGUUAUUUUUUUCUGUGGAGGCGUGAGAAUACAUCGAAAUGGCUCACUGACUUGCGACAUAAACAUAGUUCUACGACUCUCAUCAUUAGUAGUAGUGGGAAAGAAUGAAACGAGGAAUGUCUGAGUACAGUUCUUCGAAUAUAUGUUGCACAGCCGCCAGCCCGGCCCUUGAAGAAUCAGCUGAAGAUCUCGAUCCUCUAAAACACAUAAAGUGACUGUGGCCAGAAGGGGUUAUGCUUCUGUAAUAGUUUGACCAAACACGCAAGAACAAACGUAAAACUGAACACAUUAUUAUGCACGACUACCAGUAAUAUGGCAGUUGUCUCAGCUUGACGACACCGAUCACCAAAGUCAACGUAUAGGGGAAUCAGUACCAUAUGGAAGACACAUAAUAAUAGGAAUGUCUCAUUUGCCCACGUGCUGGCAGAGUGAAGACCUGCUGGUGUGUGGCAACAUUAUCCUGCUAGCUUCGUUCAUAAGUGGCCAAUUCCCUACCGUAAUACCCUAUAUUAUAAUGUUAUUUGUCCUCCGUCAGUGAGCUGGACAACCACUUCUCAAGUUUCAUCACUGUCUUCAAUGAACGAACAACGAGACUCACGUGAGUAUCUUGCUACACUAAGCUACAUCUGUGCCUCUCCUCACCCAGAACACUAUUGGCAUACCUCAACACCUGUCACACCUGUCUAGUGUGACGCAUACUGGAGGAAUUUCGCAAUUGGCCCCCCAGCUUAUUUCACCUUAAUAUUAAUCACCUUAACGCCAACCUAACCUAAUCUGUUCUAAUGUAACCUAUCGCUAAUCCAACUUAAUCUAAAUAAACCUAACGUAACCCCAGCUGGCGUUGGGCGGGUGAAUCAUCAGGUGAAAUAAGCUAGGGGAUAGUCAUCAGCAGAUCUGCAAGAAUCAUCCACUGUUACAGAAGGAAGAAUAAAAACAACAAGCGCGAGACAUGACAACAGUGACGCACGAGCAGACCAUCUUAUUCAUCGCCGCCAGAGUGACUUGCCAAGGAUCUGGAUUUCAAGGUGAGGCGGAACAAGAUUUUUUACGCGGCGUGAUGGGUCGAAGUUCAAGCGACAACCUGGCGAACAAAACAUGCUUGGAUCCCUCUUGGGGGCCUCUCAAUAACAUGGUGGGGAUGGAGGACGGGGACCGAUCUCGAGGUGAAGUAAUUGCCAAGAAGAAACAAAUAUUAAUAUAAGAAUAAUGUCUUGAAGUGAAGUAAUUACCAAAAAAAUAGAAGAAUGGUGAAGAAUAAGAGCCAGCAGGAUCAACCGCUCAAGUUGUCAGCUCCACAUCACGCUCACGUCUGUAGCGGAGAGGAAAGACCAUCGCUAUGGAACGGAGGGGAAUGAUGGUAACCGUCAUCGUAGUUACCCUGUGAAGAAGAUGGUAAGUUCACCUUCCUGCUUGUUUGGCGCUGCAGUUCCUUCAAGACAAACUAAAUCUCCAGCAGUACUGUAUACCUCACAAAAAAUAUCAUUAAGUCAAGUAAGAUCAUCUGCAGUUAUGUCUACAACAAGAGCAUCUUCAUGAAUCAAAUUGGCAAUGAGAUCAAACCACUUAAUAUAAAGGUUUUGUGUAUGUGUCACAACUUUCAACAGCACCCAUAAAACUAAAAGUUUGGAGAGACAUCACCCAAUACAAUAUCCCACAGGUCAGUACAAAGUCAAUUUAUGUAAAUACUACUUACAGUAACUCAAAGGUAAUUCAUAUGAAGCUAAAUUAUAAUAAUAAUUGUUCAAUCAUACAAAUACUGUAGUGCUGACAUCAAUACAGGGUGGGGGUCCAGCUUCUCAUUGUCUCAUUAUUAAGAUGCUGAUGACUUAGAGAAGGUCACUACACCUUGACACACUGAUUAAGGUUCUUUAGGGGUUUUUUCUAUUAGUAUUCUGGAUGUACUAAGUUGCUAAUAGUUUGAUGCAGAAUUCACUUUUAUUCCCCUAAGUGUGAUAGAUGGAUUUAUUCCACAUCCUACAAAGAAACUUUUCCCUCUCCUGAGUUGUUCAAGAACACCCCUCUCACUGCUUUGUUCAAAAUACCUGCUACAUCCUAGUGUGUGCCUGAAAUUUAAGUACUUUUCACCAAUAAUAUUUCAACGGCAAUUUUUUUUUUCUAUUAUAAACAUUAAUUUCUAAUCAAAGGGAAAAGGCAUUUUCACCCCCAAAGCCAAUAUAGGAAGACCUCAAAGCCCUGAUUUAGGAUAUGGGGUGUAAAACUUGCAAUUAUGGUCAUUACCGUACAUAUAAUGACUCUAGGAAUAUUUGGAACCCUAAUUACUCCCAACCUGUAUUGUAAUUUCUUAAAAACAAUUUUGUGUGUUUUUCUUUCAUUCUCAAUGUACCUGUACUAAGUUGUGGAAAGUGAUAUCUUAAUGAAACUUAGUGAGGCUACAGAAACAUAAUUACCGUUACAUAAAUUCAUUACUCAUUAAUUAAACUAAUAAAUGGGUCCCCCUGUAGUUAUGAAAUGUAAUAUUAACUUUAAAUUAUCCUAACCAGACCAAGUUCAGUUUUGGUUUAGUUUAAUUUCCACGAAUCAAGUUAGAUAUUUCCUAUGAUAUUAAAUGUAAAAUUUACUCUUUAUGUACAGGGGUUUUAAGAGGGAUAUGAAGUUGGAGGUUCCCUCUUAAAAGAAGCUACAGCCAUGCCAGGGCACUAAAGAUGAAAUGUAAAUACUCUCACUUCUAUUGAAAAUCUAUAGCUGGAAUGCAACCUUAAACACCUCAAGACCAGCCAGAGAACUAAAAGUUACCCGUGCAUUUUUAGAAUUCCCUUGUAUCUCGUGUUCAGUAACAUUUUGAGUUACAGGGUACACAUAAAAAUAAAGUAAAAUAUUCUAAAGAUUUGUGAUGUUUGCCAAUUCUGUCAUUAUUUAAUACACAUACAGGUAUUGCUCACUUAACAUAGCUUCACUUAAUGUACUGUACUGUCAUUAAAAUAUAGUUCACAACUUAGGUAAUGUAAUCCCGCAAUAAAUUCAAUGAUUUGCUGCUAAUUUAGUUAAACAAAAUAAGAGGCUAGUAGAUUUGUGCAUUCAUCACUGGUUAACACUAGUGUAUUUAUAUUACAGUAUAAAUAUAUAUACUAAUUUAUUGGGGCCCAAAAAGUUUUCCCUGGUAAAUAUCUCAAUUAACAAUAUGGGAGAGUACAGGUAUAGGAGGACAUGUUUUACUUACCAUAAUAUGAUUUUGGAAUUUGUAUAUGUUAAGUGAAAUAUACCUGUAGUGUACACCCACACACAAAGAUGGACAUACAGUAAACAGUUGUACUUGGAAGUACAGUAGUAUGACACAAAAUACGUUACUAAUUUCAUAUACAGUAUAGUCCUACGCCAUCAGAUAAAUAUUCCUUGUGUAUGUGCUCUUGCAGCUGGAAGAAAUGUACCUCUCUUAGAGUCCUAAUAAUAUCACUCAUUAUUGGUAAAAUCAGCAGGUAGUAUCAUGUCCAAUGGCAAAAUCAUAUGAUCACAGCAUAUAUUUAUAAUACAGAUCAUUGGAUACAUGAACAUCUCAGCAACCUUCUUUUCUGACUUAUGACUUAUCAUUAAUACUUUAUCCACCUAAUACAUAUGUAUAAAAUAUAAUUAUAAAAAUCUAU